CCUACGGGAGACAGCAGUGAGGAAUAUUGGUCAAUGGACGAGAGUCUGAACCAGCCAAGUAGCGUGAAGGAUGACUGCCCUAUGGGUUGUAAACUUCUUUUAUAUGGGAAUAAACUGUUCCACGUGUGGGAUUUUGUAUGUACCCUAUGAAUAAGGAUCGGCUAACUCCGUGCCAGCAGCCGCGGUAAUACGGAGGAUCCGGGCGUUAUCCGGAUUUAUUGGGUUUAAAGGGAGCGUAGGUGGAUUGUUAAGUCAGUUGUGAAAGUUUGCGGCUCAACCGUAAAAUUGCAGUUGAAACUGGCAGUCUUGAGUACAGUAGAGGUGGGCGGAAUUCGUGGUGUAGCGGUGAAAUGCUUAGAUAUCACGAAGAACUCCGAUUGCGAAGGCAGUUCACUGGACUGCAACUGACACUGAGGCUCGAAAGUGUGGGUAUCAAACAGGAUUAGAUACCCGUGUAGUC
rnacentral:rRNA from 1 species